ensembl:lncRNA
CAAAUCAGAAGCAAAAACAUGGGAUACUUUAUUAUUUUCUGUUGACGGUUUAGAUGUAUGAAAACACAGCAAAUAUUGAUAUUGUUUUUAAAACCUCAACCUAGAAUACAUUAAAGAAAGUACAUUCAGCUUCCUUGGAUUAGCAAGCAGGCAAGAUUUGCAUUUAAAAUAAGAGUCCAGAUCGUGCGCCCUCUCAGACAGGGUUAAACCAGACCAGAAAAAAUUGCAGGGUCAGGGCCAAGGCAGCUGCCUGCACGCCUGUUAUGUCUGUCAUUGUUUGUUUUGUCUUUUUGGACUUGUAAGCUCUGGGGCCAGGAGAGCACCGUGGGGCCCUCCCGCCGGCCCUGCCUCAGUGCCACCGGGCAAGGCUUUGUUUGCCCAGCAGUCAGAGCGGCGGAGUCCGGGCCUGCCUGGGGCCUUCAGGUACACACACGUACUGCACGCUGCCUGCCUCUCGCUGUCACCGGCAGCCACCUGCAUUGGGCCGGGCUUCUGCAGGUUCUCCUGUUUUGGGACUGCACAGCCGUGGCUUAGGCAGAGCUUCGUGUUUGGACACUGUUACGAUCAGUGAAGGCAGUGUUUAUAGGUAGAAGGAAAGGCAGUUUUAGAGCCUUCUCUAAAAGUGUGUCUGCUUGUUUUCAUGCUAGAUGUGACACAAACUCGGAGGCGGAGAGGUCCUGGUGACUGUUUUUGGUGGAUGCAGAUGAUUUGCCAUCACGUUUCCACGCACCAAGACUGACGAGCACAGCCAUGGCAGAGGAGAGCUGAACAGGAAAUUCUGGCUUCAUUGACAACAAUGGCAGAAAUUUGCGCUUUCUGGAGUGCAAGAGUUCUUCUCUACCACUGCAUAAAACUGCCCAAAGGGAAUCACGAAUACUUCAGCAUUUCAGAGCUACUUCUGGAAAUGACUUGACUAGGAACUCACAGGUGUUGUGCACAUUCUUGUGCAUUGCUUCAACAUGCAAAUUGCUUUGGUAUCAUAGUCUUAUACUGAAGGUAAUACUGUCUCAGUCUGUGUGUACAUCUUCCUGCUUAUGAGCAAAACUACUCAUUAAUAUUGAUAGAAGAAUGCAUUAAAAGAUUCAUAUUGUAGAAGAAAUGCAAACACUGCAAGCUGAGGGAGAAAGACACCAAUACCUUUUUUUUUUUCCCCUUUUUUCUUUUUUCUUUUUUACCUAAGUGAAAAGUGAGGAUCCGUAGCAUUUUGGAAUUCAGCAACGAACAACUUUGCACAUCAGAACAUCAGCACACUUCUUAGAGUUGAUGUUAGCUGAGUCACUUGCUACUUUCAACUGUAACUCCCUCAUAGAGAAGGUAUAUUAGAAAAAUCAAUAGGGAAAUCAAUAUGUUUUAUCCAAGAUAUCGGAUGUGCCCCAGAUGCUUACAUUGCUAAAUAGUAUUUGAUUCAAAUAAAAUAUAUCUUGCACCCUUUGUAUUAAAGUGGGAGUUGACAUGUAUUUCUCUUGUCUCCCUUCUCCAUUCCCGGUUGAGUAGCAUUUGCACUCUGGCACCAAUUUGUGUGGAAUUUCAAUGUGUUUUGGAAAUAAAAUUGAUUAGCACUUUCUUUCCUGAAGAACCAUCUUAACAUCAUCCCUACAAUUAUAGGAAAUUAAGUUGAAUAAAAAUACUUUUUAGUUUUAUUUCCCAAAUAAAGAAAUAAUGCAGUAUAAUGAAGGGCUGUGCAGGAGAGCUCUAGGACUACUUUACAAAAAGCAACAGUCAGUGAAGUGGAAAAAUGAGGGAAUAAAAACUGGAUUUCACAGUAAACUGUUUCCAUUGGAUUUAAUCUCUAGAUAUCACGUUGAUAUUUAUGUGCAUACAAAUUAUAUUCUAUGGGAACACUACGGGGUAAAUUAACAGUGCACUGCACAUAGAUUAGACAUGCAGAUGACAAAAGUGGGAGUUAAGUGUGUAGAAAAUAUAUCCCUAAAUCAACAUUUACUUAACUCGUUGACAAACAGGAGCAUCAGGAAAGCAUUUUAAGACUUACUACAUUUUGCAUGAAGACACACAGCUCUUAGUAAAGAUGUUGGUAAUGUCCUCUAACUUUCUCAUAACAGCAUUAUCUUUAAUAUAAGACUGGUAAGCAUUCUUUUGGCAAGCUAAAUGUUAAAGUAAAUAGAUGAAAGAAAGAAAAAUCCAGGGGCCGCAUGGUUUCAUGAUGAUAACAGGACACAGUGGUUCUUAUCUAGAAUCACACUUUGGAACCCAUUCAGUGAACUUCCAGUGAGGUGGGAGUUUCAGCUAUUUUCAAAGCUUAACAGC